UACGUAGGGACCAAGCGUUGUCCGGAAUCAUUGGGCGUAAAGCGCGCGUAGGUGGCCAUUUAAGUCCGCUGUGAAAGUCAGAGGCUCAACCUUUGAAAGCCGGUGGAUACUGGAUGGCUAGAGUACGGAAGAGGCGAGUGGAAUUCCUGGUGUAGCGGUGGAAUGCGCAGAUAUCAGGAGGAACACCAAUAGCGAAGGCAGCUCGCUGGGACGUACUGACACUAAGGCGCGAAAGCGUGGGGAGCGAACAGG
rnacentral:rRNA from 1 species